UACAGCCCUUGGCAAGUGCCUAUUUCGGGCCCGGUGAUGGGCCGAUAUGGAUGGAUUCACUCAGAUGCAAAGGUGACGAGUCAAACCUGAGGAAAUGCCAGUUUGGUGGGUGGGGAAACCAUCAAUGCAUUCAUGCAUAUGAUGCAGGAAUCAUCUGUAGAGAAAUUAAAAAUGUGCUCAGGAUUGAGGUGAACAUUGACUCUGACGUAAACCCCAACGACUCUUCACACAUGACCAAAAUACUGGACAAAAUCAAGGAAAAGCUCAAAAAGAAUGGAAAUUUCUCUGUCAAGUGGAGAACUCAGAUAAAUGGGCAAGUGUUUCAGGAAAAUAAAUUAUUUGAUCCCUGACAGGUCUGUUAUUUCGAAAGGAGCCAUACAAGAAGAGACCUCUCACGACAAAUUCAGCAGAACAACUAAUCUUGGGAUUCUCAUAGUGUUUGUAUACUAAAAAGGUUUAAUAUACUUCACAGCUUAUGAAAUAAAGCAUAUGAAGAACAUUUGUUUAGGUUGCAGCAGGUCAGCACCAGUGAAGAUCUGUAAUCAUUUUAUUAUUUAAUUACUUUCAUUGGCAGGAAAGGAAAAUAAAAAUUCUCUUUAGAUUUUGCUCUCUGAUUUAAUAUAUUUCAUAGAUUUAUACACCAACCUCCUAAAAUAAGUCUGAUGAUUUGCUUAACUGUGUAUUCAUUUAUAUGGUGUUAACAUUUCAUUAA